rnacentral:lncRNA from 1 species
CGUGCACGAGGCGACCCCAUGUUUUUAUUUUCUCUCUCUUUGUACUAAAACACAGAUUCCCGGACGGAAUAUUAUCGCUUUUUUACGAGAAAAAUGGCAUAAAAAUUGAUUUUAAACAGUGGUUGACAUGCUUCGAAGUACGGUAAUGGAAUAUUUAGAAUUUUUUUGUCACGAAAUGCGUCGUGCGCGUCACCCUUCUUUACCAUUCGGAUAGUGUCUUGAACGCACGAACAAAACAGAGGAUAUUUGGAUAUAACUAUGGAUUAUUUUGAACCAAACCAACAUUUGUUAUUGAAGUAGAAGUCCUGGGAGUGCAUUCUGACGAAGACAGCAAAGGUCUGUGUGGGUCCAGAGAUGGUCGAAGUCCCGAAAGCAGGCAGGGGAGUUCCACCAUCCUAUUCAAGAGUUUCGACUGUUUGGAGAGGAAUUACGAAGUUACUUUCGUCUGGACAGAAGCCAGUUCGAUCAUCUGCACCAGAUUGUUGGGGCCAGGAUCACCCAGAUGGAUACCAACUACCGGGAGUCCAUCAGCCCAGUUGAAAGCCUCGUGAUUUGUCUCUGAUUCUUGGCGACAGGGGACUUCUACAGGACCAUCGGAUUCAGCUUCUGAAUUAACUUGCCUGUCCCCAAGAAGGAAGACUGGAAGGCCAUCGCUGCCGAGUUCCUGGAGAGGUGGAAUUUCCCAUUGAUGGCAAUCAUGUAGUAAUCAACGCUCCACCGUGCUCGGGUUUGCAAUUCUACAACUACAAGAGUACAUAUUCAGUUGUACUCUUGGCUGUUGUAGAUGCCAUCUACUGUUUUCGUGUCGUCGAUGUUGGUGCUUACGGCAAAGGAAGAUGAU